UGAUGACUUACCUUUCAUGCGUAUAUCUGAUGGCUCGACGUUAUAGAAGACAGGAUAUGCUUUCUGUUCCUUCUUGUCAACACACUCCAUGAUCAUUGUGAGUUCCUCCAAGCACCAGGUGGAUGAAGCAUAGUCCUUGGAGAAGAUAAUAAUGGCAGUUCUUGAUUCCUCAAUGGCUUUCAAGAGUUCUGUUGAAAUGAACUUUCCUCUUUCAAGUUCCACAUCAUCUUUGAAUACA